ensembl:snRNA U6 U6 spliceosomal RNA
GUGCUUGCUUUGGCAGCACAUGUACUAAAAUUGGACCAAUACAGAGGAGUUUAGCAUGGCCCCUGCGCAAGGAUGAUGUGCAAAUUUGUGAAACCUUCCAUAUUUUU